AACGAGGAUUCCCUCAGUAACCGAGUGAAGCGGGAUCUAGCCCAGCACCGAAUCCCCCGGCGGAGACGCCGGCGGGAACUGUGGUGUUCGGGACGACCCACGCCCGUCGGUCGGACAGUCCUCCUGAUAGGGGCUUCUCCCAGAGCGGGUGUAAGGCCUCUACGGCGUCCGGUCGGCGAGCCCGGGGAGUCCUAGGAGUCGGGUUGUUUGAAUUGCACCCCAAGGGGGUGGUAAACUCCAUCUAGGGGUGAAUACGGGCACGAUCCGAUCGCGAACAUACCGUGAGGGAAUGUUGAAAGAACUUUGAAGAGAGAUUUCACUAUACGUGAAAGCGUCCAGAUGUACGGAGAGAACACCGUAUCCGGCGCGCGAUACUACUGCCCGCUCGGCGCCGGCGUCUUUGCGCAUCUCCCCUCGGGCGUCUGGCGUCGACUUCGGGCGGCGGCGUAUUUUCGCGAGGAGCCACGACUGGUUCGCCCGGGAAGAAACUCACUGGGAGUGAGCCCGCUCGGCUCAAAUAUCAGCCCGGGGGCGCGC
rnacentral:rRNA from 1 species